AAAAGUCGUAACAAGGUCUCCGUUGGUGAACCAGCGGAGGGAUCAUUACAGAGUUUUCUAAACUCCCAACCCAUGUGAACUUACCUAUGUUGCCUCGGCGGCGCCCGGUGGCGAGCAUCUCGCGACCUACCCGGGACCGCCGGCGGAAAACCAAACUCUUUUGAAUUUUUAGCACUUCUGAGUUAAAUCAUAAUAAGUUAAAACUUUCAACAACGGAUCUCUUGGUUCUGG
rnacentral:misc_RNA from 1 species